CAGUGGAAAAAACGACACCUUACCUAUAAGGGAAAGAUGAUUCAAAUGACAGUGGUUUUCUCAUCAAACACCAUGGAGGCCAGAAGGAGGUGGUACAACAU